AGAUAGGUGACUGAGUAGUAAGUGGAGCACUGUAAAUGCUCAUAUGGCGAUUAGCCCCUACCUG
rnacentral:tRNA from 1 species